CAGAAUAUGCUCUUAUUUGGAGAUGUGCUUUCUACAGCAGUAAAUUAAAAUGAAGGCAUUAGGGUGGACCCUUGCCUACUGUUGUCCUUGUAAAAAGGGGAAGUUUGGUCACCAAGACAGACACAUGGAGAGUGACAAAGAUUGUUGGCCACCACCAGAUGCUCAGAGAGAGGCCGGGGGCGGGUCCUCCUCACAGUGCACAGAAAGGACACACCUUCGAGCCUGAGACCGAACAGAGCUGCUGGUGGCUGCUCUUGCAGUCCAAGCAAACCAAGAGAGGCAUGAGAACUGGCUGCCCCAUGGGAAGUCUUUGCCACGGCAUGCCCCCCAGGCAGGCUGCCCUCUUCCUCCUUGGGGGAGCUCUCCUGUAUCCCCCGUCAAGGGAUGGGGACAGCUGAUGCGAGGUCCAGUAGCACCGACUCAGCCUCCCUACACCUCUAAGAGGAGUUUCUCCCAGCCUGGGGCCGUCCCUGCGGAAAGGUGACACGUGGCCUGAGGACAUCUGGGAUCUUCAGUGUUAGGAUUCAUAGUUCCUUGAAGAACAGCCAGUCACAAAUUAACUGUAAACAAGUCAAAAAGGCAGGGAUUCAAUUUCCUCCACGUGCGAAUGAAUUUGCAGAUGUCAAGUGGUGUGGAUGUGUUUUUAAGGUACCCUGGACACUGGCUUAUGCUGGCUGCUGAGGACCUGGGGACAGGCAGACGGCAACCAUGGCAGAGUGUCAGCUGGGAAGUCCGAAUCCCAGGAGGCCAGCGGCGUGAACUCAGGAAGCUGCCCACAUCCGCUGCACGAGCCUCCCAGCAGCCCUCAUCACUGGCAGGACAUUCACAGUUCACUCUUGGAGCCUGCCUGGCCCAGGGCUCUGUCCUGCCUCUGCAGUGUGCUUUGGGGCUGCCCUGGAGUGACACCCUCACCCCUCCGACCAUGCUUGAGACCAGCCAGACCCACUGCCUCUCACUGCUCCCCCAGGAGAAUCUGCGGGAUCCCCGCCCUGAACUUUAGCACCUGUCCUCGUAGGCACGACCUUGUGUUGCUUCUCCACUCUGGGAUCCGGUGAGGUCUCUGUGACCCAGCUUUCCCUUCUCUGGCACUCUGGCCUAUUGUGGGAUGGACUCUCUCCUUCCGAUAUCCCAGCCCCUGACCUUCCCCACCUGACCUGCCUAUGCCCAGGCCCAGAGCAGCAGCAGCAGUGCAGCCAUUCAGAGCGAGAAAUAAAGAGUGACCCCAUGCAGAUGCUGACAUGCAGGUGCGCGUCCCAGCCGCACUCCAGCUCGAGGAGCUCUGUGCAGCUGCGGUGAAGAGCUCGGGCUGUGCUGUGCUCUGUGCUUCCUUCAUUGCCCCAGGAAGGCAGUAUCUGUAAGAGAAGAGUAAGGACACAGGCAUAUGGUGGGUGGAAUGAAUGGAACCCCAAGACCUGAGACCCAGGACAAGAGCCAGGAUGGGCACAUGGGAGCACACACACCUUUGGAAGGGGGAGCACUCAAUGAGAUCAGCAAUGUGGAAUUGUCUGAAGCAGCAGUGAGGAGCCAGCAGUUGGACUCUGGAGAACUCCACCAACAAAAUCCCAGUCCCAGCCCCGACGUCCAGAGGACAAGAUCAGCUCCAUACCCAGCACAUUUCUGGGAUUAAAUAUGGACACUAUCA
ensembl:lincRNA